CCACUGGUGGUUCAGUGGUAGAAUUCCUGCCUUCCAUGUGGGAGACCUGGGUUUGAUUCUCAGCCAAUGCA
rnacentral:tRNA from 1 species